UACGAAGGGGGCUAGCGUUGCUCGGAAUCACUGGGCGUAAAGGGUGCGUAGGCGGGUCUUUAAGUCAGGGGUGAAAUCCUGGAGCUCAACUCCAGAACUGCCUUUGAUACUGAGGAUCUUGAGUUCGGGAGAGGGAUGUGGAAUUCCAGGUGUAGCGGUGAAAUGCGUAGAUAUCUGGAGGAACACCGGUGGCGAAGGCGGCAUCCUGGACCGGCAUUGACGCUGAGGCGCGAAAGCUAGGGGAGCAAACGGG
rnacentral:rRNA from 1 species